CAAUACACAUUAAAUUGCAAAUGAGAUGCAUGGAUUGUGGCCCAAAUCUUUCCAAUUUUUCGCCACAAUCAAACACGGCAAACCAAAAGCCUUUUAAUUACUUUUCCCGGAUUUUUAGCCCACUCUCUAGUAACUAUUCUUGCUAGGGUUUUUAUUAUGAGUUCUAAUUCAAAGAGCUCCUCCCCUGUUGCGUCCUGUUGCUGCUAAUCGAAGAAGAACGGUAAGAAGACAUGUUGCUGCUGAUCGAAGAAGAACGGAUUCUCUGAUAAGAGAUUGGAUUGAAGGUCAACAGUUCCACACUUUUAGUUUUAAAUACCAAUUUCAUGAGAAGUUUAUCUAUUCCUUGUUAUUUGUGGUAAUUGGAUCUGUUUGGUCAUGGAAAGUUUGCUUUA